UGUUCACAUUCAUCGCGAUCUCUCUGCAAGCAUGUUGCCUGAAGCUCUGUACUUAUUCCUCAAUGCUGCAGUUCUUCUUACCGGACUUUGUCGAGGCGAUUCUGUCUCACAAACACCGUUUGUAAUCAUAGUGACUGAGGGAGAUGAUGUCCAGUUGUUUUGUAAUUACACUGCUGCAGCAAGCGACGAUGCUAACCUGUUCUGGUACCGUCAGAAAACCAGCGGAUCCAUGGAGUAUCUGGUACAGAGAAGCCAAUAUAUCAGGAACACGGAAAGAUUUCCAGGAGAUCGGCUUUCCUCGGAUUUUGACCAUGUGAACCGCACUAUCCAGCUGAAAGUGCUGAAAACAGAACUGACAGACUCCGCAGUGUAUUACUGCGCUCUGAGACCCACAGAGACUCAGGACAAGGGUAACUCUGCAGAAAAAGUGUCAGAACGUAACUGA